UACGAAGGGGGCUAGCGUUGUUCGGAUUUACUGGGCGUAAAGCGCACGUAGGCGGAUCUUUAAGUCAGAGGUGAAAUCCCAAGGCUCAACCUUGGAACUGCCUUUGAUACUGGGGAUCUUGAGUCCGGGAGAGGUGAGUGGAACUGCGAGUGUAGAGGUGAAAUUCGUAGAUAUUCGCAAGAACACCAGUGGCGAAGGCGGCUCACUGGCCCGGUACUGACGCUGAGGUGCGAAAGCUAGGGGAGCAAACAGG
rnacentral:rRNA from 1 species